rnacentral:sRNA from 1 species
UUUUGACUUUUUCAACUACGCGGGACUGCAGCGGUCUGUACUUCUGUACACGACACCCACCACCUACAUCGAUGACAUCACCGUCACCACCGGCGUGGAGCAUGACAGUGGGCUGGUGAAUUACCAGAUCUCUGUCAAGGGCAGUAACCUGUUCGAGUUGGAAGCGCGUCUUUUGGAUGCAGAAAACAAAGUCGUGGCGAACGGGACUGGGACCCAGGGCCAGCUGAAGGUGCCGGGUGCCAGCCUCUGGUGGCCAUACCUGAUGCACGAACGCCCCGCCUAUCUGUACUCCUUGGAGAUCCGAGGGAAGGGCUUCGACUGGCCGCUGCUGGUGAAGGACUUCAACCUGCUUCGCUGGCUUGGUGCCAACGCCUUCCGUACCAGCCACUACCCCUACGCGGAGGAAGUGCUGCAGAUGUGUGACCGCCAUGGGAUUGUGGUCAUCGAUGAGUGUCCCGGCGUGGGCCUGGCGCUGCCGCAGUUCUUCAACAACGUGUCUCUGCAUCACCACAUGCGGGUGAUGGAGGAAGUGGUGCGUAGGGACAAGAACCACCCCGCGGUUGUGAUGUGGUCUGUGGCCAAUGAGCCCGCGUCCCACCUAGAAUCUGCGGGCUACUACUUGAAG